GGUCAGAGCUGCAGCUGCCGGUCUAUAUCACAGCCACAGCAAUAUGGGAUCUGAGCCACGUCUACAACCUACACCACAGCUCAUGGCAAUGCUGGAUCCUUAACACACUGAGUGAGUCUAGGGAUCUAACCCAUGUCCUCAUGGAUACUAGUUGGGUUAGUUACCACUUAGACACAAUGAGAACUCCUUCAUAUGACGUGUCAUUCUUACUAGUUAGUUCUUAUUUCCCAUGGAACUUUCCAUUGUGGCUCUGGACUUAGGCUCUCUUAGCUGUGAACUAUGCUAUACCAUGUCCCUCAUUCUAAGCUUCCCCUGCACCUUCCACCCCUGACAGAGAUCUGGAUGUCUCCUUACAAACAGUCUCCUUUAAAGAGAGUGACAUGGGAGGUUUGGCUUUCACCUCAAGAACCUCAGAACAUGGAGACAGAUGUGUAUAAACCACUGCUUCAGUUCUCCUUCAAAACCAGUGCUUCUGUGAAAUGCAGGCCAUAGCAUCAUGUCACAUGUCCAUCGUGCUGCGUUCACCUUCCUCUUUCAUUCAUCGAUAGCUUCUCAGUGCCUGCCUUAUUGUCAUCUCUUCCAUCUCCCUGUGAUUCUUCUAACUUUGUCUUUUUUUUUAAUGUAUAUUGUUUGGGCUAUUUUAGCUCCUUUGCUUUUAGCAUGUUUACUUUCACGUGAUUGGUAUUGCUUGCACUCUGUGUAUUGACUACGGAAGAACUGACAUCUUAACAAAAUUAACCUUCCAGUCUAUUUUUGUGAUAUAUCUUUCUGCUUUUUGAAGUAGUCUUUGUUUUGUCUCAAUAAUGUUUUAUAGGUUUAGAGUAAAUUGUACCUAUUGGGUGUAUUUACACCCAAGUAUUGCCUAGUUUUUAUGCUUUUAAAAUAGUGAUGCUUUUAAUUUCAAUCUCCAAUUGUUCUUUGCCAGUAUAAACUUAUAUGUAGCUUUUGCAUAGAUUCUUUGGGGCCCAUUCUGAGCAUAGCUCCCUCUUCAUCUCUGAUACCCCAUACUGUAGCUUCCAGCCAUCUCUUCUUCCCCAAAUUCUAAUCUCUGCUUCUACAACUCGAAGGGUCGCCACAACCUGCUUUGACUCUAACCUUCUAUACUGUUGUCAGGAAAUUAUUCCCAGGGAUAAGGCUGGGUAAUUUGAGCCUCAUCUUUGCACUUUCCCUUCUCUCAGGGAAAAGAUACUGAGCUUGAUGAGGUCAAUGCACCUUGAGAAGAUUUCCUCUUGGUCCCUUGACCUCCAAUGGCAGCUUACCUCCCUCCUCCCACUCCUGUCUUCCAGAGGACCUUUGAAACUAAGUUGUGUUCAGCCACUCUCAUGUUUAAAAUCCUCCAGUGACAUUUCAUUGCAUUUAGUGUCAAAGGAAGUUCUUACAGUCUCGUAAUGGAAAGGUUUAUAGAAUGUUAAAUACCUUUUCAAUCUGCUCUCUGCCCAACUCUCCCUUCCUUCCCAUUCAACCCACAAAUCUCAACCACAUUGGCCUUCGUUGUUUUUCUCUAAGGUGUCUAGCUUAUUUCUGCCUUUGAGACCUGAAGACUUAUGUCCUUCCCAGACCUGGCCCCUCUUGCCAAUAUCAAUUUAAAUGUCACCUCCUCAUGACUCACCUGCCUGUAUGACUGACCUAAAAGAGCAAUCCAGACACUUUUUAUUGCAUUAUCCUGCUUUACAUUUCUGCAUAGUGAAUAUCACUGUUUAUUUGCAGGGUUAUUUGUUUUGUGUUUGUCUAUUAUCCUUAGAAUGCCGCUUUCUUGUAUUUUCUUUGUCUUACUCACUGCUAAUAUCCAUGGCUAAGGGUAGAGGCCAGAACAUAGUAGUUGCUCGAUCAACAUUUGUUAAAAAUUAACAAAUGACAUUUUUCUUCAGAGAUACGGCAACAAAGCCAGAGUGUGCCAUUCCUUCGCCUUUUUUUAUUUUCUCAGAUUUAUCCAAUCUCAUGAGAAUUUUCUCUUGGUUAUCAUAUAGGCAAUAUCUGCUGUGAAUAAUUAACUUCAAAAUUAAACAUAUUCUAGCCCCUUAGAUAGAAUAACACCCUCAUUUUUUCUUUGUGGCUGAGGAGUGAUAAUGGCUUUUUGCUAUGGCUAAAAUCUGGAUUUUUCCCACCUGCUCUACGUGCCUUUUAAUUUUUUUCUAUAAAAAUUGUCACCAAUUGCUUCUACUAAAUUAAAAUGAGGUUCUAAAUACAUACAGUGACUUCUGUUUUUUGUGGAAGGACCCUAUCUGGUAUAAAGGACAAUAAAUAUUUUUAAGUUCUUUAUCUUUCCAGACAUACCUUUCAUUUUAGGUUAGUGAUAAAAUUUUCACCUUUGGUUGUUGAAUCAGUGUAGAUAAAACUUUAAUGCAGAUGUAAAUGAAGUGAAUUAUGUAGAUGUUAAAUAGUGUGAUAUAUAUAGAAAUGAUUUAACACUGCUCUAUAUCUUUAAUAAACCCUAUUUUAGUCAAAUUGUAGAGGAAAGAAGGAAUGCCAGAAUACCAAGACAAGGAUAAACUUUUUGCUACUUAAAAAAAAAGAAGGAGUUCCCAUCGUGGUGCAGUGGUUAAGGAAUCCGACUGGGAACCAUGAGGUCUCGGGUUCGAUCCCUGGCCUCGCUCAGUGGGUUAAGGAUCCCACGUUGCGGUGAGCUGUGGUGUAGGUUGCAGACGCGGCUCGGAUCCCUCAUUGCUGUGGCUCUGGCAUAGGCCGGGGGCUGCAGCUCCGAUUCAAUCCCUGGCCUGGGAACCACCAUAUGCCGCGGGAGCGGCCCAAAGAAANAAAAAAAAAAAAAAAAAAAAAAAAAAAGAAAAGAAAAAUGGGAGAAAGGUGGGUGAGUGGGAUGGAGAGGAGAAAAUAUUGCCUCUGAGGACAAAUUAAUAGAGCAAUUUUCAAAGCGUGGCCUACAGACUUCAGGGGCUUAAGGUCAAACUGUCUUGAUAACAUUACUUUUUUCACUCUGUUGGUAUUUGCACUCUUGGUGCAAAAGCAGUGGUGACUAGAGAUGCUAGCUCCUUGAAACCAAUCAGGGUACUGGCACCAGACUGUCGUAGAAAUAAUGAUACUUUUCACUGCUCUGCAACUGUAGUGAAAAACAUAUCCUAGAUAAAGCAGAAAAAUGCUAAAUUUACGAAAUUUCAAACCUUGAGUACAUGACUUUUAAACAUAUGUUAUGCAUAAAGCAUAUCUGCUAAUAUCUAAGAUACUAUGGUUGCUUCCAGGAGCAAUAUUUGUACGACUGUUUGAAUUGCAAGCUGAACUAACCACUUUUUUUUUCACAGAAUACUGUUUUUACUUGAAAGAAUGGCAGAAAAACUAAAGUUAUUCAGUUUAAGUUUAUGGCAGAUAUCUCUUCAAAAAUAAAUGCAGUAAGCAUGUCACUUCAGGAGAAACAACUUGUAAUUAUUGUUACCAAAGAAAAUUUUAAGAAAAAUGAAAUUUGAAAAAACUUGUGUAAGCCACCGUGAGCUUGCAAGAUUUACAAAAUUAAUUAUGGGAUCAGUGGUGAUAUUAAUGAAUGUGAUUUGUCUGAUUUUUUAAAAUGAAAUAUGUAAGUAUUUAGGAUAUCUGCAUAACCCAGUUGUCCAGUAUUUUUCCUUCAAAGUUAUAAAAAGUGCUACCAAAAACACAAGAUAGACUAAUUUUCAUAGAGUAAUAAAAUUUUACUAACAUAGCUUCAGAUUCCAUGUUAAUUAUUAUUUUUUUUCCUUUUUUAGGACUGUACCCCUGGCAUAUAGAAGUUUCCAUACUAGGGGUCGAAUUGAAGCUACAGCUGCUGGCCUGCACCACAGUCAUAGCGAUGCGGGAUCCAAGCUGUGUUUGCAAUCUAUGCCACAGCUCAUGGCAAAGCCAGAUCCCCGACCAACUGAGAGAGGCCAGGGAUCAAACUCACAUCCUCAUGAACUGUAGUCAUAUUCAUUUUUGCUGUGCCACGAAGGGAACUCUCUCCAUGUUGAUUUUUAAUGAGCUAUCGCUUUUCUAGUUUUGGUGGAAUAUCAGAGAAUACCACAAUUACCCCAAAAGCUAUUAAAAUACUCCUCUCUUUUCUAAAUACCUAUAAGUAUGACAUCAUUUUUGCUUUUUAUAUUUCAAGCUAAAAACAGGUCACAUCAGAAAAAAAUGCAGGAAGAGAUAUGAGACUCUAGCUAUUUUCUUUUUGGCCAAACAUUAAGGUUAUUUGCAAAAUUGUAAAACUAUCACUCUUACUGCUCUUUGUUCUGUUUUGGAAAAAUAUAAUGGGGACAUAAGAAAGAAAAACAAAACAGGAAGAAACAAAAACAACUUUCCUUAGGUAUCCAGGAAAUACCAGCUACCCCCCUGUCCUUACUGGGUCAGUUCCUAAAGGUCCUUAGUGAUGCAGAUUUUUUAGGGCAUGAGCGGUGUCUGUAUUUGCAAAUAAUCAGAGGUACUAAGAGAUAGAAAUAGUCUUCUGAGAGGGAGUGUAUUUCCUGUCACUGAGGUACCUAGUAGUUAGUGGGACACCUUAGACCAUGGCCUCUUAAAUUUCAGUGACCAGAAGAUUCACCUGGGCAUCAUCUUAAAAUGCAGAUUCUGACCCAGUAGGUCUGAGCUGGGGCCUGAGAUCCUGAAGUACUAGCAAGUCCCCAGAUGCUCCUACUAUUGGUGGUCAGUGGAAUGACCUGAGGGCUUUCACACCAUGGGGAAAGAUGAAGCUAAACAGGAUUUCAGUUCAUUUGGUUGUAAGAAUGACCUGGUAUCCUUACUAGUCUAGCUCUCUAGGUUCCUCCCCUGGAGAUUGGGACUUAGUUGAUCUCGGUGGAAGUCUAUAAACUGUAUGUUUACAAAGGAAAUUAUUAUGAUCAGGCCAGUUUUGGAAACACUAAGUUGAUGAUCUUCAUGCUCUUUCUUCACUAUAAUUUCUCUGCAUUUCCCAAAGGGUUAGCUAUUGAUUUUAUAUCUACAUUUUUUGGGGUUAAUUUUUGCCUUUUUUCUUUUGCUCUUUCUUUUGACUCAUACAGAGAUAGAUUCCUACUAGAAGGAGCCACCCCCCUUUUGUUUUUCAUAACAAAGAAUAAGCUUUCCAUGUGACCCUAUUCUCAUCAUUGGGUAGUUAGGUAAUUUUGGUAAGUGAUAUGAUUUUAUUUGUGCAGAAACUCUUUGAGUUUAUAUCAUUACCCUCAUUGUAUGGACUUUAGAAAACUAAAGUUGAUAGAGGCCACAAGACUUACUCAAGGUAACAAGAAUGCAGGAAGUCCUGGAGACAGGAUUUGACUCACAGCUCAGCCUGAACAACAGUCACUCAGACAUUAGACACCUGGUCACCUGUGCUGCCACUCCCCUGCAUGCUUGUGAGACAUGGAACCUACACAAUAUUUGUAUCUUCUGCUUUGCUCUCCUCACCUUAAGGUCUCCAUUUACCUCGGCUUGAUGUCUCCUGCUCAGAACUUUAUGUGCUUAUCUCUCCCCAGGUCUUCUAGCCCUGAAUGAACACAGCCCUGAUUCUGACCUAUGCUGGGGGCAGGAUCACUCUUUCUAAUCUUCCUCUGGUCUCUCAUUCAUCUGGGUCCGAACAGCUAGCCACAUUGGGAUGCAGUGACGUUCCUGACGACAGGCUCUUCAGACCAGCAGUCACAUGCCUUCCUUGAGCUAUUCUUUAGUCCUAACCAGCUAUUCCGAACAGAGCCACAUGGCGGGGCUGGUGGGGUGGGCCAAUUAGCCCAGGUGGGUGAUGAGAGACAGGUUCUAAGCGAAUAAUCACAAUAAUGAAAGUCUAAUUAUGAGCCAUUAUCAGAGUCAGAAAGGAAAGGAAUCCAGUUCUUUGAGAGUUAUAUAACCAUGGAAACGGAAUUAAUUUAGAAGGCCAGAAAAUAAUAAUAGGUAAACCUAUGUACGCAGUUUUUCACUAUGUACCCCUCACUGUACUAAAUGUUUUUUAAAUCUAAAUCUAUUAUUAAAUUUGUUAUGUAACUUGUAAAGGUUACUUUCCAUUUAGUUAUUAUAAAACAUUGGCUACCUUCUGCCUGUUGCACAAUAUAUCCCUGGAGCUAUCUUGUACCCAGGAAUUUGUGCCUCCCACUAAAUGGUGAACGCGGGUGACCUCAUAGUCUUAACAAACAGCUGUAUAGGAAGUUACCUCAUGUUAUAAGUGAGAAAACCAAAGCUCAAGAAGUUAAUACCUAAUCCCAGAAUG
rnacentral:lncRNA from 1 species